UGAGCUGAACAGAGAAAUGCGACACGGAUCGAGAACGACGAUCGAUGUAUUUUUUAUAAUUUGUUUCAAAAGCUAUUCGAUAGGGGCAGGGACGUUGACUUUUCACCGAAAGACAUUGCCAGGUUCAUAUAAUAUUCCGAUCAAGUUGAAGAGAUUGUGCGAGGACGAGAAAAGCUGGACAGGCGUUGGAUUGAAAUUGAAGACAUUCGCCUUUAUCUCUGCAUCACACCGGGUCAGAAUUCUGGGAAAAGUCUCUAGAUGGGUACAACCUCUGAACAGACCCCUCCACCAACACAAAUGCUUAUGCAGGGAAAUGAAGAGGACAUUUAAUGAGAUUGUGGAGGUCUUUCUUGCCUACCCAGCUGUGUGAAAAGCUUGAAAAAAUGAAGAGACUUUGCAGGGAUAAACCUUCAGAUGAAUCAAGCAUUGUCAGUAUACCAGAUUUGUUAUUGGGGCACAUAACUUCGUUAACAUCUGCAACAUGGAAUAAAAAUCUAUGUUACAAGCUGCAUGUGCCUUUGAAAGAACUUGUGCCCAGAGUUAA